UAGUUUAGUGCAAACUAUGGUCACGAUCGGUGUUAUUGUUGGUUGUUAAAAUAUUGUGAGUGCUCUAUAUGCAAAUGAAUAUUCAAGAUGUUAUAUUCUAAAAGAUAUUAGUGGAUGCAGAUAAGAGUGUUUAGUGAGUGCUAUGUUUGAAUAUUUGCAAGUGAAAACACAGCCUAUCGAUGUAAUGCGCCGAUAAACUAUCAUGACUGCAUUGAUGUAAUGCGCUAAAAAACUGCAAUGGCUCCGAAUACAUGAUUACCAGAUAACAAAUCCUAGCGCAGCUUACGUGUGUUCUUCAAUAACGUCGCAAGCUACAGUGGCUGUUCGUAAUUUUUGCAAGUUCUACAUCUACAGGAUUCAGUUAUCUGGGCAUUAUAGAUACGCUAUUAUCACCUACGUAGUAAUUUAGGUAUAUUUAUUAAAACAAUUAUAUAAGGUGUUGCAAAAAGGGUAUA